rnacentral:rRNA from 1 species
CCAUAGCGUAUAUUAAAGUUGUUGCAGUUAAAAAGCUCGUAGUUGGAUUUCUGGUAGGAGCGACCGUGCCGAACUUGAUUGUUCGAGUAUUGUGUUGUCUUCAGCCAUCCUCGUGGAGAACUUUUCUAACAUUAACUUGUUGGGAUUGGGACCCGCGUCGUUUACUGUGAAAAAAUUAGAGUGUUUAAAGCAGGCAUUAGCUUGAAUACAUUAGCAUGGAAUAAUAAGAUAGGACUUUGGUACUAUUUUGUUGGUUUGCAUACCAAAUUAAUGAUCAACAGGAACAGUUUGAGGAUAUUCGUAUGAACAUGUCAGAGGUGAAAUUCUUGGAUUUUGAUCAGACGAACUACUGCGAAAGCAUUUAUCAAGGAUGUUUUCAUUAA